ACCCAAUCCCCGAUCGGGGAGGUAGUGACGAGAAGUAGCGAUGCCGCAAUCUUUUGAUUCGGCAAUUGAAAUGAGAACAAUGAAAGAAUUUUAUCGAGAAUCUAUUGGAGGGCAAGUUCUGGUGCCAGCAGCCGCGGUAAUUCCAGCUCGAAAAGCGUAUGUUAAAGUUGCUGCGGUUAAAACGCUCGUCGUUGGACAUCAGGAAAUGGUCCGUGGACGGCCUAGAGUCGCUACCACGGAUUCACUCCUUUUUAUGCCAGUUCAUCGUUGAUGCACUUUAGUGUGUGUCGCGGUAGAAGGUCAAUGUCACUUUGAGAAAAUUAGUGUGCUCAACGCAGGCUUUAUGCUUGUAUAAUGCUGCAUGGGAUGACGGAAUAGGGCCUCGGUUCCGUUUCGUUGGUUUACGAAAGCAGAGGUCAUGAUUAAUCGGGACAGACGGGGGCAUUCGUAUUGCGGUGCUAGAAGUGAAAUUCUGUGACCAUCGCAAGACGGACAACUGCGAAAGCAUUUGCCAAGAAUGUUUUCAUUAAUCAAGAACGAAAGUUAGAGGAUCGAAGACGAUUAGAUACCGUCCUAGUUCUAACUGUAAACUAUGCCGACUGGGGAUUCGCCAGUGCAAUUUAGCUUGGCGAGCACCCUCCCGGGAAACCAAAGUGAUUGGGUUCCGGGGGGAGUAUGGUUGCAAAAUCGAAACUUAAAGGAAUUGACGGAGGGGCACACCAGAAGUGGAGCCUGCGGCUUAAUUUGACUCAACGCGCGAAAGCUUACCCGGUCCGAACACCGUGAGGAUUGACAGGUUGAAAGCUCUUUCUUGAUCCGGUGGGUAGCGGUGCAUGGCCGUUCGUAGUUGGUGAAGUGAUUUGUCUGGUUUAUUCCGAUAACGAACGAGACUCUAGCCUACUAAUUAGCGUAGCGAUUGUUCGUCGUUACAAUGCUUCUUAGAGGGACAGGUGUUGCUUAAGCACACGAAGUAGAGCAAUAACAGGUCUGUGAUGCCCUCAGAUGUUCGAGGCUGCACGCGCGCUACAAUGGAGGGCACAAAGCGCACUACGCAUGUCGGAAGAUAUGCGGAAUCGUAAAUAGCCUUCGUGACUGGGAUCGGAGAUUGAAAUUAUUCUUCGUGAACGAGGAAUUCCUAGUAAGCGCGAGUCAUUAUCUCGCGUUGAUUAAGUCCCUGCCCUUUGUACACACCGCCCGUCGCUACUACCGAUUGAAUGAUUUGGUGAGGUCUGUGGAUAGGUGUCACCGGGCUAACCACCCUGUUGAUCUACCUAGAAGCUGCCCAAGCUUGAGCGUUUAGAGGAAGUAAAAGUCGUAACAAGGUUUCC
rnacentral:rRNA from 1 species